GAUGAACGCUGGCGGCGUGCUUAACACAUGCAAGUCGAACGGAAAGGCCAGUGCUUGCACUGGUACUCGAGUGGCGAACGGGUGAGUAACACGUGGGUGAUCUGCCCUGCACUUCGGGAUAAGCCUGGGAAACUGGGUCUAAUACCGGAUAGGACAAUGGUUUGGAUGCCGUUGUGGAAAGUUUUUUCGGUGUGGGAUGAGCUCGCGGCCUAUCAGCUUGUUGGUGGGGUAAUGGCCUACCAAGGCGUCGACGGGUAGCCGGCCUGAGAGGGUGUACGGCCACAUUGGGGCUGAGAUACGGCCCAGACUCCUACAGGGGGCAGCAGUGGGGAAUAUUGCACAAUGGGCGCAAGCCUGAGGCAGCGACGCGGCGUGGGGGAUGACGGCCUUCGGGUUGUAAACUCCUUUCGCUAGGGACGAAGCGUAUUUGUGACGGUACCUGGAGAAGAAGCACCGGCUAACUACGUG
rnacentral:rRNA from 1 species